rnacentral:rRNA from 1 species
UACGUAGGUGACAAGCGUUGUCCGGAUUUACUGGGCGUAAAGAGCGCGCAGGCGGUCGUUCAAGUCGAGUGUGAAAGCCCCCGGCUCAACUGGGGAGGGUCACUCGAUACUGAUCGACUCGAAGGCAGGAGAGGGAAGUGGAAUUCCCGGUGUAGUGGUGAAAUGCGUAGAUAUCGGGAGGAACACCAGUGGCGAAGGCGACUUCCUGGCCUGUUCUUGACGCUGAGGCGCGAAAGCUAGGGGAGCGAACGGG